rnacentral:misc_RNA from 1 species
UUUUAUCUGUUCAUAUCCAUAAAUUUCAUCACUCACUUCUCAUAGAUUUUUUUUUUUUAUUUUUUUGGAAGAGCAUGGAAACUAAGCCUAUAAUCAUCUAACAAAUGGAAGUUAUUGGUAGAUAUCAACAACAGGCAGCAACCCCUACAAAUCUACCAGCAGCUUAACCACAGAAUUAAUUUUGGUACUCACAAGAAGUAACAAGGAUUCAAACAUGUAGUGUACCAGCAAAAAUUGUCCCUCCUUUGUUAUUCACACAUGGAUGAGGCAAAAAACUUUUAAAUAGACAUUCUCCUUAUAUGUGUG